rnacentral:pre_miRNA from 1 species
GGUCUCUGUCCUCAAAAAUGCUCACAGUCUAACACCUUGAAGUCUAGUGUAGAUGCUUAUACACUAGACUUCAAGGUGUUAGACUGUGAGCAUUUUUGAGGGCAGGGACU